rnacentral:rRNA from 1 species
GAUGAACGCUAGCGGCAGGCUUAACACAUGCAAGUCGAGGGGUAUUGGUUUUCGGACCAAGAGACCGGCGCACGGGUGCGUAACGCGUAUGCAAUCUACCUUUUGCAGAGGGAUAGCCCCAGAGAAAUUUGGAUUAAUACCUCAUAGUAUGUGAGGAUGGCAUCAUUUUCACAUUAAAGUCACAACGGCAAAAGAUGAGCAUGCGUCCCAUUAGCUAGUUGGUAAGGUAACGGCUUACCAAGGCUACGAUGGGUAGGGGUCCUGAGAGGGAGAUCCCCCCACACUGGUACUGAGACACGGACCAGACUCCUACGGGAGGCAGCAGUGAGGAAUAUUGGACAAUGGGCGCAAGCCUGAUCCAGCCAUGCCGCGUGCAGGAUGACGGUCCUAUGGAUUGUAAACUGCUUUUGUACAGGAAGAAACACUACUUCGUGAAGUAGCUUGACGGUACUGUAAGAAUAAGGAUCGGCUAACUCCGUGCCAG